rnacentral:rRNA from 2 species
GUUAGAUUGAAGAAGCUUGCUUCUGAUUGAUAACAUUUGAGUGAGUGGCGGACGGGUGAGUAACACGUGGGUAACCUGCCCUAAAGUGGGGGAUAACAUUUGGAAACAGAUGCUAAUACCGCAUAAAACCUAGCACCGCAUGGUGCAAGGUUGAAAGAUGGUUUCGGCUAUCACUUUAGGAUGGACCCGCGGUGCAUUAGUUAGUUGGUGAGGUAAAGGCUCACCAAGACCGUGAUGCAUAGCCGACCUGAGAGGGUAAUCGGCCACACUGGGACUGAGACACGGCCCAGACUCCUACGGGAGGCAGCAGUAGGGAAUCUUCCACAAUGGACGAAAGUCUGAUGGAGCAACGCCGCGUGAGUGAAGAAGGUUUUCGGAUCGUAAAACUCUGUUGUUGGAGAAGAACGUAUUUGAUAGUAACUGAUCAGGUAGUGACGGUAUCCAACCAGAAAGCCACGGCUAACUACGUGCCAGCAGCCGCGGUAAUACGUAGGUGGCAAGCGUUGUCCGGAUUUAUUGGGCGUAAAGCGAGCGCAGGCGGUUUCUUAAGUCUGAUGUGAAAGCCUUCGGCUCAACCGAAGAAGUGCAUCGGAAACUGGGAAACUUGAGUGCAGAAGAGGACAGUGGAACUCCAUGUGUAGCGGUGAAAUG